rnacentral:rRNA from 1 species
UAAGGAAUAUUGGUCAAUGGACGCAAGUCUGAACCAGCCAUGCCGCGUGAAGGAUGAAGGUCCUCUGGAUUGUAAACUUCUUUUAUCUGGGACGAAAACGGGAUUUUUAUCUCAAUUGACGGUACCAGAGGAAUAAGCACCGGCUAACUCCGUGCCAGCAGCCGCGGUAAUACGGAGGGUGCGAGCGUUAUCCGGAUUUACUGGGUUUAAAGGGUGAGUAGGUGGGCUUAUAAGUCAGUGGUGAAAUCUCCGAGCUUAACUUGGAAACUGCCGUUCAUACUAUAGGUCUUGAAUUAUCUGGAGGUGAGCGGAAUAUGUCAUGUAGCGGUGAAAUGCUUAGAUAUGACAUAGAACACCAAUUGCGAAGGCAGCUUACUACAUAUAAAUUGACGCUGAGGCACGAAAGCGUGGGGAUCAAACA